GAUGAAGAACGUAGCGAAAUGCGAUAAGUAAUGUGAAUUGCAGAAUUCAGUGAAUCAUCGAAUCUUUGAACGCACAUUGCGCCCGCCAGUAUUCUGGCGGGCAUGCCUGUUCGAGCGUCAUUUCAACCAUCAAGCCCCAGGCUUGUGUUGGAGCCCUGCGGCUGCCGCAGCCUCCCAAAACCAGUGGCGGGCUCGCUAUCACCGAGUGCAGUAGUUUACUCUUCGCUCAGGGCGUGUGGCGGGUGCUAGCCGUAAAACCCCCAACUUCUCAAGGUUGACCUCGGAUCAGGUAGGAAUACCCGCUGAACUUAAGCAUAUCAAUAAGCGGAGGA
rnacentral:misc_RNA from 1 species